AGUGAACGCUGGCGGUAGGCCUAACACAUGCAAGUCGAACGGCAGCACAGUACUAGCUUGCUCUUACGGGUGGCGAGUGGCGGACGGGUGCGGAAUACAUCGGUAUCUACUUUUUCGUGGGGGCUAACGUAGGGAAUCUUACGCUAAUACCGCAUACGACCUACGGGUGAAAGCAGGGGAUCUUCGGCCCUUGCGCGAUUCAAUGAGCCGAUGUCUGAUUAGCUAGUUGGCGGGGUAAAGGCCCACCAAGGCGACGAUCCGUAGCUGGUCUGAGAGGAUGAUCAGCCACACUGGAACUGAGACACGGUCCAGACUCCUACGGGAGGCAGCAGUGGGGAAUAUUGGACAAUGGGCGAAAGCCUGAUCCAGCCAUACCGCGUGGGUGAAGAAGGCCUUCGGGUUGUAAAGCACUUUUGGUGGGAAAGAAAAGCAGCAGGUUAAUACCCCGCUGUUCUGACGGUACCAAAAGAAUAAGCACCGGCUAACUUCGUG
rnacentral:rRNA from 1 species